GGGUCGAUGGCGUAGCUGGUUAUCGCAUCUGUCUAACAUUCAUGUUCCACAGAAGGUCCUCAGUUCGAACCUGGGUCGACUCA